rnacentral:rRNA from 1 species
AGAGUUUGAUCCUGGCUCAGAAUCAACGCUGGCGGCGCGCUUAACACAUGCAAGUCGAACGAGAAAGUGGAGCAAUCCAUGAGUAAAGUGGCGUACGGGUGAGUAACACGUGGGUAAUCUACCUCUGGGUGGGGAAUAACCCCGGGAAACCGGGGCUAAUACCGCAUAAGCCUGGAAAGGGAAAGGCGAAAGUCGCCGAGAGAGGAGCCCGCGGCCGAUUAGCUAGUUGGUAGGGUAAAGGCCUACCAAGGCGAUGAUCGGUAGCCGGCCUGAGAGGGCACACGGCCACACUGGCACUGAAACACGGGCCAGACUCCUACGGGAGGCAGCAGUGGGGAAUCUUGCACAAUGGGGGCAACCCUGAUGCAGCGACGCCGCGUGAGCGAUGAAGCCCUUCGGGGUGUAAAGCUCUUUCGGCUGGAACGAUGAUGACGGUACCAGCAGAAGAAGCUGCGGCUAACUACGUGCCAGCAGCCGCGGUAUAC